rnacentral:ncRNA from 1 species
GGCGUGGAAAGACUUUGUUAAACCGACUCAUAAUCUUACAUUAACCAUGAACGAAUAUAUACAUGUGUAUGCACAUAUACAUGAAAUUUACGAGCCCCGAAAGUAAGCCUAUAAGAGGGAUCAAUCUCCACUCUCGUGGAGUGAUUUGUCUGGUUAAUUUCGAUAACGAACUAGACUCAAAUAUAUUAAACAUAUGCUUUCAGGAUAAUGGAAGUGAAGCUUUUAUGGCCUUUACUUAUAAGCAUUGUAAAUCGUGUGAGCGAUUGAAAAGUCGUACCUGUUGGUUUGGGCAAAUUGUAUCUAUCAAUAAUGAGAUCGAGCAAUAAGAGUUCUUACAUGCCCUGGGCUGCACUCGCGCUACAAUGAAAGUCUCAUCGUGUAUUUCCUAGACCGCGUGGUCCGGCUAAACACCUGAACUACUUUAGUAGUUGGGAACUGUCUUCUGAACUGAAGUUGUUCAGGUGAAUUUGGGAUUUCGAGUAAGCGUGAGUCAUUAACAAGCGUU